GCUCCCGUGGCCGUCCGGAGAGGCCCGGCGCGCGGUCGGCUUCUCCCGGGGCGGGCGGUGGGAAGAGGGAAGCGGCCGCCUUGUGGGCAGCCUUCCCUGCUUUUGGGCCGCAGAGCUCUUCGGGGGUAUUUACGGGAAUCGUUCCUGGAGAAGCGACGUGUGUGCCCCCGCGGAUCCCUCCCGGUGGCAAUGCUUGUCCCGGCGCGGACAGAGCCGGCCCGGGGGGAAGCGGCGAAGCAGAGAAGGGCGUGGGUGGCCCUGCGCUGCCCGGGGUCCACUUUCCCCGGGUCCCAGUUGCGUGGUGAGAGCUGCGGUGGCCGUGAAGCCUUCGGUUCAGUUCUCCGCUUGGAGAAAGUGUUGAGAUGAAGAGCUUCGCGGCUCCCUGGGAGAGACUGGGUUUCCCGGGGCUGCUUGUCGUUAGGGCGACUCCGGACUUUGCCGUCCAGGGGAAAAUUACAGGUAAUCAUUACCAAAUGAGGAGGAAAGGACGAUGUCAUCGAGGCUCUGCAGCGAGGCAUCCUUCCUCCCCGUGCAGUGUUAAACACUCCCCCACGCGAGAAACGCUGACCUACGCUCAAGCUCAAAGGAUGGUAGAGAUAGAAAUUGAAGGGCGCUUGCACAGGAUCAGUAUUUUUGAUCCCCUGGAGAUCAUAUUAGAAGAUGACCUCACGGCUCAAGAGAUGAGUGAAUGCAACAGCAAUAAGGAAAACAGCGAGCGGCCCCCUGUCUGCUUAAGAACUAAGCGUCACAAAAACAACAGAGUCAAAAAGAAAAAUGAAGCCCUCCCCAGCGCCCACGGCACGCCGGCCUCGGCCAGCGCCCUCCCAGAGCCCAAGGUGCGCAUCGUGGAGUACAGCCCUCCAUCCGCCCCCAGGAGGCCUCCGGUGUACUACAAGUUCAUCGAGAAGUCGGCCGAGGAACUGGACAACGAGGUGGAGUACGACAUGGACGAGGAGGACUACGCCUGGCUGGAGAUCGUCAACGAGAAGCGCAAGGGCGACUGCGUCCCUGCCGUGUCGCAGAGCAUGUUUGAGUUCCUGAUGGACCGCUUCGAGAAGGAGUCGCACUGCGAGAACCAGAAGCAGGGCGAGCAGCAGUCUCUGAUAGAUGAGGACGCCGUGUGCUGCAUCUGCAUGGACGGGGAGUGCCAGAACAGCAAUGUGAUCCUCUUCUGUGACAUGUGCAACCUGGCCGUGCACCAGGAGUGCUACGGGGUGCCCUACAUCCCCGAGGGCCAGUGGCUCUGCCGCCACUGCCUGCAGUCCCGGGCCCGGCCUGCCGACUGUGUGCUGUGCCCCAACAAGGGUGGUGCCUUCAAAAAGACAGAUGACGACCGCUGGGGUCACGUGGUGUGUGCCCUGUGGAUCCCAGAGGUCGGCUUUGCCAACACGGUGUUCAUCGAGCCCAUUGACGGGGUGAGGAACAUUCCCCCAGCCCGGUGGAAACUGACAUGCUACCUCUGUAAGCAGAAGGGCGUGGGUGCCUGCAUCCAGUGCCACAAAGCAAACUGCUACACAGCAUUCCAUGUGACGUGUGCCCAGAAGGCUGGCCUGUACAUGAAAAUGGAGCCCGUGAAGGAACUGACUGGUGGUGGCACCACCUUCUCCGUCAGAAAGACCGCUUACUGUGAUGUCCACACACCUCCAGGCUGCACCCGGAGGCCUCUGAAUAUUUACGGGGAUGUCGAAAUGAAAAAUGGCGUCUGUCGAAAAGACAGCUCGGUCAAAACUGUCAGGUCCACAUCCAAGGUCAGGAAGAAGGCAAAAAAGGCUAAGAAGGCUCUGGCUGAGCCCUGCGCGGUCCUGCCGACCGUGUGCGCUCCUUAUAUACCCCCGCAGAGGUUAAAUAGGAUUGCGAAUCAGGUGGCCAUUCAGCGGAAGAAGCAGUUUGUGGAGCGAGCCCACAGCUACUGGCUGCUCAAGCGGCUGUCCAGGAACGGUGCCCCCCUGCUGCGGCGGCUCCAGUCCAGCCUGCAGUCUCAGCGAAGCUCACAGCAGAGAGAAAAUGAUGAGGAGAUGAAGGCUGCCAAAGAGAAGCUGAAGUACUGGCAGCGGCUGCGGCACGACCUGGAGCGCGCCCGCCUGCUGAUUGAGCUGCUGCGCAAACGGGAGAAGCUCAAGCGUGAGCAGGUGAAGGUGGAGCAGGUUGCCAUGGAGCUGCGUCUGACCCCGCUGACGGUGCUGCUGCGUUCAGUGCUGGACCAGCUGCAGGACAAGGACCCCGCCAGGAUAUUUGCGCAGCCCGUGAGUCUGAAGGAGGUACCAGAUUAUUUGGAUCACAUUAAACAGCCCAUGGACUUUGCCACGAUGAGGAAACGGUUAGAAGCUCAAGGGUAUAAAAACCUCCAUGAGUUUGAGGAGGAUUUUGAUCUCAUUAUAGAUAACUGCAUGAAGUACAAUGCCAGGGACACCGUGUUCUAUAGAGCCGCGGUGAGGCUGCGUGAUCAGGGAGGUGUUGUUCUGAGGCAGGCCCGGCGCGAGGUGGACAGCAUCGGCUUGGAAGAGGCCUCGGGGAUGCACCUGGCUGAGCGGCCCGCUGCGGCGCCGCGGCGGCCUUUCUCCUGGGAAGACGUGGACAGGUUGCUGGACCCCGCCAACAGAGCCCACCUGGGCCUGGAGGAGCAGCUGAGAGAGUUGCUGGACAUGCUUGACCUCACCUGCGCUAUGAAGUCCAGUGGCUCCCGGAGCAAGCGGGCAAAGCUGCUCAAAAAGGAAAUUGCCCUUCUCCGAAACAAGCUGAGCCAGCAGCACAGCCAGCCCCCGCCCACGGGGCCAGGCUCAGAAGGCUGUGACGAGGACGGAGCUCCGCUGGGGCUGGAGGCGGGCGAGGAAGGAGAUAACUCUCCCCCUAAACUUGAACCAUCAGAUGCAUUACCUCUUCCUUCAAACUCGGAGACUAAUUCAGAACCACCAACCCUCAAACCAGUAGAACUCAACCCAGAGCAGAGUAAACUUUUCAAAAGAGUCACAUUUGAUAAUGAAUCACAUAGCGCUUGCACUCAGAGCGCACUGGUAAGCGGACGCCCUCCAGAGCCCACCCGCGCCAGUAGUGGCGAUGUGCCGGCGGCGGCGGCCUCCGCGGUGGCGGAGCCAGCAAGCGAUGUAAACAGACGCACUUCUGUUCUCUUCUGCAAAUCGAAAAGUUCCUUCCGAGGUUGGAGACUCUUCUGCAGCCAAGGAAAAGGUCGCGGAGCACAUGCGGAGACUCCGAGGUGGAGGAGGAGUCCCCAGGAAAGCGCCUGGAUGCAGGUCUCACCAACGGCUUUGGGGGUACGAGGAGUGAGCAGGAGCCAGGCGGCGGCCUGGGGAGGAAAGCCACACCCCGACGACGCUGCGCCUCCGAGUCCAGCAUCUCCUCCAGCAACAGCCCGCUCUGCGACUCCAGCUUUAGUGCGCCCAAAUGUGGGCGGGGCAAACCGGCUCUUGUGCGAAGGCACACGCUGGAGGACCGCAGUGAGCUGAUCUCCUGCAUCGAGAACGGGAACUACGCCAAGGCGGCCAGGAUCGCAGCGGAAGUUGGCCAGAACAGCAUGUGGAUCUCCACUGAUGCUGCCGCCUCAGUGCUGGAGCCCCUGAAGGUGGUGUGGGCCAAGUGCAGCGGCUACCCCUCCUACCCGGCCCUGAUCAUUGACCCCAAGAUGCCGCGUGUGCCCGGCCACCACAACGGCGUCACCAUCCCGGCCCCACCCCUAGACGUGCUGAAGAUUGGGGAGCACAUGCAGACCAAGUCCGACGAGAAGCUGUUCCUCGUUCUCUUUUUUGAUAAUAAGAGAAGUUGGCAGUGGCUUCCUAAGUCCAAAAUGGUUCCCCUUGGUAUUGACGAAACUAUAGACAAGUUAAAGAUGAUGGAAGGGAGGAACUCCAGCAUCCGGAAGGCCGUGCGGAUCGCUUUUGACCGCGCUAUGAACCACCUGAGCCGCGUCCACGGGGAGCCGACCAGCGACCUCAGUGACAUUGACUGACGGCCCGGCUGCCAGCACGGGUCUUGUCCAUAGUGUCGAUAAGCUGUACAUGUUUGUAUAUUGUUCAGAACUUAACUUAUUCUGAUUUUUAGUUGUAGCUCUUUAAUUCUUUUUCCCCAGGGAGGGGGGAGUUUUAUUUCCAGGUUUUCUAGGAACCCAUCUCCGUCUGGGCGCUGUGAGUGGGGUGGGCGCGUCCGGGCAGCACAGUGCGUCUGUCACACGACCCCGGGCCGUGCUGCUGGCGUCACUUUCUUUGACAUGUAGCUUUUUCUUAAAGACUUUUGAAUGUUUAAUAAUUUUGUAAAUCAUCCUCUUUACACAGAGUACCACUUAUUUAAUAAGACAGGAUGUAAAUUUACAAUGACAAAUGUGUAUUUUAAGCGAGAAAAGGACAUUAUUUUGAAUGGUACUUUGUGGAAAGGGGGAGAAUGAAGUUGUGCUGUGUACAUCACUUGCAGAUCACCAAAAACACCCCGCUGCCCGCGCCCGCCGGCGGGUUGUCCCCGCGCCCGUCGUCCCGCCCGCCUCAACCCGCAGGUGUGCCUCCCAGCGGAUUAUUUAUUGUAGAAAGUGUAUUCAUUUGCUUUAUAAUGAAAAAUACAUUUGCAAAGGUAUAUUGAUAUGCAUUUUUAUACAGGCACAUAAAAAUUCAACUCGGCUUGGGAGCAGAAUGCAUUGCAUUGUAUAAAUGACUCUGGCCUGUGUGUACUUUGAUUUUAUAACUUGUAAUCUUUUGUUUACAAUGAGGGGCUUUCUGUAACUUGUUUUAAUUUAGAACACUUUGGUAGCAAUAGAAACUUUGGAUACAUUUUUGUAUGGUACAUGUGAUGUAUAUAGAAUUAGUACUUUAUUUUUAUUUUUAAGAGGUAAAGCAUUAUGUUGGGGAAAGUAGGGUGGGUUUCCAAAUUUGCAUUUUUUAUAUUAAAAAUAAAGUCAAGAUUU